rnacentral:rRNA from 1 species
GACGAACGCUGGCGGCGUGCCUAAUACAUGCAAGUCGAACGCUUCUUUCCUCCCGAGUGCUUGCACUCGAUUGGAAAGAGGAGUGGCGGACGGGUGAGUAACACGUGGGUAACCUACCCAUCAGAGGGGGAUAACACUUGGAAACAGGUGCUAAUACCGCAUAACAGUUUAUGCCGCAUGGCAUAAGAGUGAAAGGCGCUUUCGGGUGUCGCUGAUGGAUGGACCCGCGGUGCAUUAGCUAGUUGGUGAGGUAACGGCUCACCAAGGCCACGAUGCACAGCCGACCUGAGAGGGUGAUCGGCCCCACUGGGACUGAGACACGGCCCAGACUCCUACGGGAGGCAGCAGUAGGGAAUCUUCGGCAAUGGACGAAAGUCUGACCGAGCAACGCCGCGUGAGUGAAGAAGGUUUUCGGAUCGUAAAACUCUGUUGUUAGAGAAGAACAAGGACGUUAGUAACUGAACGUCCCCUGACGGUAUCUAACCAGAAAGCCACGGCUAACUACGUGCCAGCCGCCGCAGUAA